rnacentral:rRNA from 1 species
GAUGAACGCUGGCGGCGUGCCUAAUACAUGCAAGUCGAGCGAACGGACGAGAAGCUUGCUUCUCUGAUGUUAGCGGCGGACGGGUGAGUAACACGUGGAUAACCUACCUAUAAGACUGGGAUAACUUCGGGAAACCGGAGCUAAUACCGGAUGAUAUUUUGAACCGCAUGGUUCAAAAGUGAAAGACGGUCUUGCUGUCACUUAUAGAUGGAUCCGCGCUGCAUUAGCUAGUUGGUAAGGUAACGGCUCACCAAGGCAACGAUGCAUAGCCGACCUGAGAGGGUGAUCGGCCACACUGGAACUGAGACACGGUCCAGACUCCUACGGGAGGCAGCAGUAGGGAAUCUUCCGCAAUGGGCGAAAGCCUGACGGAGCAACGCCGCGUGAGUGAUGAAGGUCUUCGGAUCGUAAAACUCUGUUAUUAGGGAAGAACAUAUGUGUAAGUAACUGUGCACAUCUUGACGGUACCUAAUCAGAAAGCCACGGCUAACCACGUG